rnacentral:lncRNA from 1 species
AUGGAAUGUACAUUCCAUCUCCCAAAAUGAAUGAAUGAUCUUAAUUUGGUAAAAGUCCUCCUUUGACCAAUUUGUGUAGAAUCCAUUCCCCCUCCCUCUUCAUCUCAUUCCCUUUCUUUAUUCAUUCAUAUUAUGGACCUAUGGUAUCUCCAUAUCCUAAGGCUAGUUGAUUGCAAAAUCAACAUAAGUAUGGAUGAGAUUAGG